rnacentral:tRNA from 1 species
GGGAGUGGAAGGGUCCCGGUGGGCCUCGCGGUCUUCAAAACCGUUGUCCCGAUGUGAUCCAUCGGGAGGUGGGUUCGACUCCCAUGCACUCCCGCCA